rnacentral:rRNA from 1 species
CUCACCCAUUUUGGGCUCCCCGAGGCGCCUUUUCACGGAGGAGGCGGGUAGGAGAAGAAGGAGAGGACCAGAGGGGGGCAGCCUGCCACCGCCACCGCGCCCAGAGGAGCGGCGCGGCCGAACAGAGGACAGAGGAGGGCCCGUAGUCAAAUCGCGGGACGGAUAUAAAUUAGGUCGUCCUUUGCUGGCUGAAUUCAGUACCUCCCCUUGUUUCUACUCCGGAACUCCAGACAGUUCGAACGUGUCUGACGCGAUCGUAGACCUCUAUCUGUCGCCCGUCUGUUUAAAUAAGCUUAACGGGUUUCUAACCUAGGGUCGGAAGGUUAACAACUAAACAACUGGAGUUGGUUUUUCAAACUAGGGGACUUAGACUUACCAUGACGAACGGUCCUGUUCUGGUGUUCUCCGGUACUUUUGGAUUUUUGCGGUUUUCUUAAACAACCAGGAAGAUUACAACUAUUUCCAAUGUGGCUCCUCUUACAAUCUCAAUAGGCACUAUAGUCCUUCUUGUUUCUGAUGAUACGUUAAGAACCUCACCUUUCCUGAACGAGGAACCUCCUCUAAUCCUUCCGGAUGUCCUCCGACAGUGACUUUUAAGUAGGACUGUUCUUGUUCCGAGGACCCCGUCUUCUACGUAAGUUCUACGAGUCGUUCCGAAAGUUCACGGAUCCGUUACUAGUCAGUGCCUUCUGGAUACUAGUCUGUCCGUGUGAACUCCCCGUACUCCAAUUGCUGGUUAUAAGGUUACAGUACUCCGUCUCUUGACGAUCCGCUUCCUCCGUUUGUUCUUUACCGAAGAUAUUAAUACUUCUUCUAAAUCUAGGUCUACUCUAUAAGUCCAGAAAGAAGAUACCAUGAGCACUAUUAAGCAAGGCACCAGUGUUACAGAUGUCUUGUUCUCUUCGUCCAUCCGUCCUCGUUGUCUCUUCCCUCGUAGGACAUGUCCCACCCAGCAAGUACUUGAAUUGUCAUAACUACGUGGACAGCCAGCAUAAUGAAAAACAGAACAAACGUAAGUAAGGUCACGUCGUCGGAGUUAUACGGGACGUGUUCUGUAUGUUGAAAGGGUAAAGUUUUCAGUGACUAUUCGUACCCCACCUCAUGAAACAGUCGUUUGUUCUAAAACUAGUCGUCAAAGGUGUACCUUCGGGAUGAUCUCUAUUGGAACUCCUAGUACAAAAGUCUCUAAUAUUCUGAUACGAUCCUUCUUUGACAGCACACCUUGAGGUAGCCGCAUUUACCCGGUUACUGAUGGGAUGCGGAAUGACACUGUUCGAUGCCUCGGAACUACACCGUAUUAUCAAGGGUGCACCACUAAUCAAACAACAGAGGUAACUCCAGAACGUCUUCAAGUGAGAGAAACUUCCACAUUGUACCAUUCUAAAAUACCUUUUCCUACUCGUUAUAUAAAGAUCAAACAGACCACGGGAUGGAAAAUAUUGCAAAGCUACUGUAUAAUACCUGGUCAUUUAACAGACGAUGUACUUCUCCGAAACUACCGACCGAUCACACAUGUACCACCUCAAGUUAGUCCGCACUAGAACCCAAGUAGCCGGACAGUAAGAAGACCUCGUUAAUGGUAAGAUGUCGACGCUCACGUUUUAAAACACGUCUAAUAGUACGAUGCGGACGGAUAUCAACGACUCACGUUUUAACACAUGUAUAUGCUGAGACUUUUUACCGAUCGCUAGUACUCUAGCAGUAACAUGACGGACUUUGGUGACAACUGAACUUUAAGAGACCCAACCAACAUCAACGACAAGGAAGACUUGUUAACAUUUGGGGAACUUUACUUUUAAUCUUUUGCACUUGACACUUGGAAAACUUUAUUUUUAAUAUUUUGUACUUUGGGGACCACAGC